GAUGAACGCUGGCGGCGUGCUUAACACAUGCAAGUCGAACGGUGAAGGCGGAGCUUGCUCUGCUGGAUCAGUGGCGAACGGGUGAGUAACACGUGAGCAAUCUGCCCCUGACUCUGGGAUAAGCGCUGGAAACGGCGUCUAAUACUGGAUACGAGCUGCGAAGGCAUCUUCGGCAGCUGGAAAGAACUUCGGUCAGGGAUGAGCUCGCGGCCUAUCAGCUUGUUGGUGAGGUAACGGCUCACCAAGGCGUCGACGGGUAGCCGGCCUGAGAGGGUGACCGGCCACACUGGGACUGAGACACGGCCCAGACUCCUACGGGAGGCAGCAGUGGGGAAUAUUGCACAAUGGGCGAGAGCCUGAUGCAGCAACGCCGCGUGAGGGACGACGGCCUUCGGGUUGUAAACCUCUUUUAGCAGGGAAGAAGCGAAAGUGACGGUACCUGCAGAAAAAGCGCCGGCUAACUACGUG
rnacentral:rRNA from 1 species